rnacentral:misc_RNA from 1 species
AAGUCGUAACAAGGUUUCCGUAGGUGAACCUGCGGAAGGAUCAUUCACACAUAAAAUAUGGUUGCGCUUUGGUAUUCGCUAUGUUGGUUAUAGCAGCAAAACUGUUGUGAUCAAUGUGACAAAUGUCCAAGGCGUAGCUGUAAUCAAACCCAUCUAAAACAAACCCCUAAAACGUCAACUACAAAAACGUCAACUACACCCCUUUGUUGUGUCCAUAAAGCCUCAUAUGAGUUUUUCAUAUGUAGUGUGAUAUGGCAGUUGUGUCCAUAAAGUCCCAUGUGAGUUUUUCAUAUGGCUGCACGAUAUGGCAAAGCUCUUAAACCUUAAUUUUUUAUACAUGCUCUUAAAACCUUCCUUUUUAUAUAAAACUAAAUUUAAAUACACAACCCUUUGCAAUGGAUAUCUUGGUUCUC